CAGACGUAUGCUUUAACUGGUCAGGCAUUAGCAUCCCCAUGGUGUGUACUGAAAACGUUCACCAAUCGGUUUGCUCCAAUUGGCUGUUACAUAAAUAGAAGGAAGAAUAAAUGAUUCAUCGUCAGUAGGGUGCGCUCUCAUCGGUGUUUGACAGCAGCAAGAGAAGUGUAUCUCACAGUAACUGACAGCAGCCUGCAGGACGCCAUAGAACAGGUAUGAAAAAUAUAUACACACACCUAUAACUGUGUGCAAUGAGAAGCGUGAGGUAGACUUUGUUGAGUCCUCAUCAUUUUCCAGCUGGACUAAAGUAACUAAAAGCUGUAGCUCAGCAGCUAAUUAGUGACCCAACCUUCCAUUAGCUGCAGGUUGAAGAUACAUGAAUGGCUAUGUGUUACUAAUGUAUUUUAAACAAGAACUUAAAUCUCAAUAUCAACAUUUAUGGAGACUCACUCAGUUCUACACUUUUCUCUUAGUGCAAGUUGUGAUACAGGAGCGUAUGCCUGUUCACUUUCCCUGUUUAUCUUGGAUUAUGUGCACUUCUCUGCUUUUCCCCCGUUGUAAUUUGCUUUAAUCAUGUUGAUCAAAAUAUGUUAAACGUGUCUGUGUUGAAUUCUCAACUUCCAAAACAGCAUAAGUUCAUUGUGUAAGUCUUAACAUGUAUAAGUCUUAAAGUUGUCAUAAUGUCAAUCAUAUGUUAAUUAAUUUAUAAUUGAUUCUUUUCUAAAUCUGUCCUGAAUUGGUAAAUUGCUCCCAAGUGAGUCCUGAGUUUCUCUAACAGAUCAAUGUAUGAACCAUUAGCUCAUCCAACGAUCAACCAGUUUUCUGUAACAGAUUGAAGGUGCAUCCUGUGAACCAUCAGUUGGCAACAAUAUGGUCUAUAUAGCCAGAACACAACACAAUGUUACAUUUCUGAGAACUGAUGAACAAGUAUCUGGACAAAGUGAACAGCCAGAGAGAAGAAGAGGAGUGAGGCUGAGGAGGAAACAGUUGGGAGGGAAGCAGAAGAAGAGUCAGAAGAGGCUGAGGUCAUCUGCCAGUUUCCAUCAGUCCAACAUCAGGAUAUGACUGCAACCCACAACAUGAUGCUGAUGGAGGUUCUCCCACCCUGCUGUUCAUUCCUUAACCCCACUGAGGAACCUUUGUCAGCAUGACGAUGGAAAUGAAAAUGUAAUGUAAUUAUGUAAUUUCUACAGCACUGUACAGUUUUCCAUGAGGAGAUUGUCCUGUGGUUCCUUUUCUACUUUUUUUUGUUCUCUGCAUUUCUGUCUUUUUCUUUCUGAAUCACCAUGGCAUGGUCCAUCAAUGAAUUACAGCAAAAGCGUAAAUGUGAAUUUUGUAGUCUCUUCCCAUGACUAAUCAAUUUGACCRUCUUAUCURUACAUAGAGAAACUAUAACUUAUUAUUUUGAGUCACUGAUAUGUUAACUGACAGAACUAAAGAUUUUUCAAGCAAACAAAUGCUAUCUUUGCUGUUUCUACAAAUUGUUUUGAGAAAUGCRCUUACUGUUUUGUAAAUGCCAACAAUGACUUGAGAAAUGCACCAAAAGUGACUGAGAAAAACUAACAUAGCAUAAAUGGUCUCAGGUGUAUCUAUUUGUUUGCCUGUAUGAAAAGUGUACACAUUUACAGCUUUGUUUCUGCUAGCUUGCAGGAAUUGUAACUUACAUAAAUGGUUGAAGACAACUUAUUGACCUUCAUGAGACUCAGAUAAAUGAGAGGAUCACACCUGUCGUCAACAAAGGUUUCAGAACUACUGAAUUUUCAGUCAGAAAUGAUCACACCGCCUGGUUGAAGUACCAGUCUCCAUAUGCAAGUCAACAAAGCAGAGAGGAAACACCCGAUUGACAACAUGUGAGUCUCAAUUUCAAAUUUCAACCUGUGACUGGGAARACUACAACCAUCCUGAGCAAAAUCUGAACUCAGUGACUUGUGACUCUCAACCCAGAACAAGAAUCCUUUUAUCACCGGUUUUUCUUCUACAAUAGGUUAUCUCUUAUAGACAAAUGCUGUUUUUUUUGUUUGUUUUGUUUUCCAGAUCUCAGUUUCCAGAUCUGRCCAUAUGGACCACUGUGAGGAAACUGGACAGAAAAUAGAAUUGUUUUGUUUUUUUAACUAAAUUUUUAAAUAGAAAUUGUUUCUUUAAGUGGAUUACUCAUAAUCUGUAUUUUUGUUUAAUUUGAAUUUAUUUUCUUUAUAACUUUCUGUAUAGAAAUGCUGACAAGUUACACUUCAGUGUGUUGUACUAUAGUUUUUAUGGUAAAAUUCUGGUAAGAACAGUGACCAGUAGUUUACCAAAAGGUUUUUGGGUUGUUUUUUUUACAAUAAAAUGUCGAUAUAUCAUA